rnacentral:sRNA from 1 species
AAGUAUAGAAUUAGCUCACUUAUAUCUAUUCAAUAUCUUCAGUUAAAAACAAAGGCAAAACCCCAGUUUUUGAAUGAUACUGUGAAGUAAUACUUAAAUUGGUUUAGAGAAUUUUCUUGAACUUGAUUAAUAUUUUGUUGUUUUUUAUAACAGAAUAUGAAGAGAGUGGAUUGUUGGAAACAGAUGAGGCUACCCUAGAUACAAGGAAAAUAGUAGAAGCUUGUAAAGCCAAAACUGAUGCUGGCGGUGAAGAUGCUAUUUUGCAAACCAGAACUUACGACCUUUACAUCACUUACGAUAAAUAUUACCAGACUCCACGAUUAUGGUUAUUUGGCUAUGAUGAGGUAAAAAUGAAAAGCAUUAUAUUUUAAUAUCAAUAUUUUAAAUUGUUGGGUUUUAAUUUCUUCAUUAGGUCCAUAAGUAUUUAUUGCAGUGUUUCACAUUUUGGAAAUCAUUUGUUUUACAGUUUUAUGAUUAAUGUUGAACUUGAUUCUUUCUUAUUUUGAAUGAACUAUGAAUUAUUCAGUGUAACAACAAUAAUGCUAAGA